rnacentral:lncRNA from 1 species
AUUUAACUUGUACGUACUAGGGCCUCUAUAAAACGGAGGACUCGUAUGCAAUUAAAUAAAUAAAAAUGCACACAUUAAUGUACAUAUAUUAUUAUUAAGUCCAGAACAGCAUCAAAGUGUAGAAGUCACAUGAAAGAAGACAGAUAUAAAUACAAGUUUGGUAAUAAAAAUCACUCAAAACAACUUAACAAACACAGAUAAACCGUACUACUUAUUCAACUUCAGAACAGCACCAAGUUUUGCCAAGUACGUACAAGUAUAUAUAACAUGACGACAGUGCCAUCCAUAUAUAUAUAUAUAUAUAUACUUCCCAACUACUCUUUGAUCUGGUUUUUAGCACAGAGUACGUAUCUCUCGACAUGCAGCAUCACGUUCAAAUGCUGGGCUUCACGUUGAGGCGAGACGCUAUUUUCUGACCUAGAGACUUGUCAGCCUACAUGGACCACAACAUUACCAUCAUACUAGUAUUAGAUUAUUUUCAUUAAUACUACCUACUCUUCACCUAAUUGUUCCCGCUAAUAAAAUCUUUUACUAUUAUAAUUCAUUCCUAGUUGAAAAGGGUUGGAAUCAGAUUUACCUGACUCCAGUAUGACACCCAUAUGCUGCGGAUCUCAUAGGUAAUACGCGGAUCCGAUAAACCAGUAACCACCCGAUUGAUAAAUCGCUCUUGCCUGGAACAAAUAAUUAACAAAACCAAUAAAGCCUAAGUAGUUAUUUUAUUAUGAAAAGGGAGCUGAUAUUUCAUUCCACAGUUAUACAUUUUCUUUAAAAAAUCCACUUUCGCACUGGAGUUGUUAAAUGAUCGCUGGAAAUAUCAUUCCAACAUUUAUAAAUGAAAUGGUACUUGCAUGCGUACCUGUCUGGCGCAAAAGUCCGGUAUCUGUCUCCUGCCUGCUUGAAGUUGUUCUCUUUGUCAAUUACAGACUGCAUUAACAACCAACAAGCUAUUAUCAUGUAUAUAUCUAGGUCAUCUAGCUAGCUAGCGUAAACAAAUUAUUGCAUAUUGCCUUCAUUUGUUAAAGAGAUAUCUAUCUAUUCUAUUACCAUUCAAACAAAAUUCUGUAUUUGAUUGAUCAACUCCACCUUUUUGGAAAUUAAAUUCUAUGCCAUUAAAGGAAUGCCAACAUAUAUUAUGAAAAACUCACCCUAGUUCGCCUUCCCAUCAACACGCGUGGAGGAAGGGGGUGCUUCUCAGCAUGGACCACAGGAUCAAACCUAGAAGGGAAGUAAUUGACCUGGAAGAGUGCACUUGUGUGAUUAAUAUAUAUGGAGAACACAAAAGCAUGCCUAAAGAAAUUAAUUAUCAAAAGUGGGCUAUUUAGAAAGCAAGAGAUCAUUAAGAAGCUUAAAAACUCUACUCUUUUUCACCUCCUCAUCCCUGUGCAAAAAAUUCAUUGAGCCUUCAUGGUGAUUGUUGUGAUGAGCGCACUUGGGAGCAUUAGCUGGAAGCAGCAAAUAGUUUGGUCCCAGACGGUGCCUCUGAGUAUCACCAUAAGCGAAUACCCGACCCUGGAGAAACUUAUCAUCCGAAUACCAGACACCAGGAACAACAUGAGCAGGGUUGAAAGCAAGCAUUUCAUUUUCUGCAAAAAAGUUAUCAAUAUUCCUAUUCAACACCAAGCGGCCCACUGGCUGCAGGGGAAAGAUGUCCUCAGGCCAGGUCUUGGUUACAUCGAGUGGGUCAAAGUCAAAUUUGUCCUCGUGAUCGGGGUCCAUAAUCUGGAUAAAAAGCUUCCACUCAGGAUAAUUGCCAGCUGCAAUUGAGUCAUAGAGAUCUUGGGUGGCAUGGCUGUGAUUAGAUCCUCCAAUUUUGAUGGCUUCUUCCUCCAACAAGUUUUUGACUCCGCAGGUAGGUCUCCAGUGAAACUUGACAUAGGUUGCUUUCCCAGCCUUGUUAAGAAGAGUGAAGGUGUGAACCCCGGAGCCAUCCAUGUGCCUGUAAUCUUGUGGAACACCUAUGUCAUCAUAGAAGAAUGUGAAGGUGUGCAAACUCUCUGGGUGGUGGGAUAAGUAGUCAAAGAUUCUCCAGUUCUCUUGAAUGUGAGACUUGGGAUUGGGUUUAAAAGCACGAAUCACGUCUGGGAAUUUCAUUGCAUCCCGGACAAAGAAGAUUGGGAAAUUGUUUCCCACCAGAUCAAAGUUACCCUGAGUCGGUACACACAAAAAAUGUCACAAAUUAAUAUUAUGAACACAAAUUAAAAAGUAAUCUACACACACACUAUAUAAGAUGCACAACUUCUUCAUCAAUUCAAAAAAAAAUGUAUGUAUUUUAAAAUGAAAUGGAGCUCCUAAUUAAUGUUUGCAAGAUGGUAGGGCUCCCUCAGAUGUUGCAACCCUGAAUUCCUCCAAAAGUUGGAUAAAUAAGAGUUGCGCGUGAAUAGAGCUAGCUUUAGAGAGCUUCAGUUUUGAAUUUUUAGGAUUUCAAAAUUUGACUUGAAAAAAUAAAAAUAUAUCUCGGAACGACUGGAGGGAGUAGGUCACAAAAGAGAGAAUUAUAUCAGUAUUCUCACCUCUCUGGUGUAGAACUUCACUGCAAAACCUCGAGGGUCCCUGAUGGUUUCAGGACUUCCACGCUCAUGGAUAACGGUGGAGAAGCGAACAAUAACAGGUGUCUGGACACCAGGGGCCCGCAGAAAGUCAGCGCAUGUAAGGUUAGUAAUAUCAUGGGUGACCUCAAAGAAACCUUUGGCACUGGCACCCCUUGCAUGGACAACUCUUUCAGGGAUCCUCUCCCUAGUAAAAGUAGCAAUUUUCUCCACCAACGGAUAAUCCUCAAGUAGGAUUGGGCCUGUCAAAUACAGAUUAGUUUAUAUGACUUCACCCACAUACCCACAUAUUUCAAACAUAAUCAGUUGAUGCAAACAAUUACUGGCAGGCAUUGAAUUGAGUAAUAAGUAUCUAGCUACCAUUAUUUUACAUGAGACAAUAUAUGUGUCUAGAGGUUUAUACAUUUGAUAGUUAGACAUCAUAGAAGGUAGAAGAAGCAAAUAAGAAGUGCUUUGUACACCGUUUAAGAAUCAAGAACUUAUUAUUUCCUGUCCAUGAUGCUAUUUCUCAAGUUUCAUUAACAUAUGCAAGGGGAUUUAAUUAAAACAGAAGGCAUACUAAAAAGAGAGUAGGGAAAGAAGAGAUAAAAAAAAGUAUAAAAACCAACAGCAACAUCUCCUUCCAAGAUACUAUCUUUAACCAUCAAGCACCAUGGAGCUAAAGAAGGAAACUCCUAAGAUGGACAGACGCAAUAAGCAAUACCAAGGAAUGAAGCCAUACACUAAUGUUAGUCAUUAAUCAAUCUCUUCAAUGCACAUAUCUACAUCCUUAAGGCAACCAUAUCAAUUCAACACAACAUAUAAACUAGAGAAAACAAUGUGAAGGCAGGCACCAGAAAAAAACCCCAAAAUUACAAUAAUCAACAAAUUAGAAAAAGAAAACUUUUCCCAGCCAUGCCAACAUAGGAAUAGGAAUCUUCCAAUCUCAUGUUAAUCUAAACUAUAUCACUUCAUUUCGUCAUGUUUUAACUGUCUAGGACUGUCACAAAACUCUUUGCAAAAAUUCUUUCGCGUUUGUAUGUCGGCCAAUCAAAAUUUUCACCUCAAUUUCUAAAAGCUACCAAAUGGAUCCGGUUAGCAUGAAAUGAACUUCAUGAUAAGUUCACUCCAUGACCAAUACAGUGCUGACACGCAGGCGAGAGUGUGAUCUAUCCGCCUGCUUAUGAACUGAACUUACCAUAAAUUCCCUUCAUGCUAAACACUCCCCAAAUUUAGACACUCGAGUAUAUGUUUCCACUUUCUUUUUUGACAAAUAGUUGCAUACAUCUGAGGCUACUAAAUAAAAAUUCUAUGCUAAAUAAACUAUUAACGCUAAAGAGUUACUAAUAAAUAAUAAAUUAAUCUUAGAAAAAUCAUUAAUGUUCAAAAAGAAUAUUAUCUUAAGAGUAUUUCCCAACCUUCUGCUUGACAUUUCUCUUUUGUUCCAAAAAAAUAGUCUUAAGCCAAACCAAACCAGAUGGAAUCAUCACAACCAUCUCCAGCCACCCAUCUCAAGUAGAGAUCGAGCACCACAACCAAGCCAGCAAGCAGUACUAGCAAUUAAUUCAAGGAAAACCGUUUCUUUCCAUGGAUUGAUCCCAUGCCCAAAGCAGUUCCCAAACUACUUGUCACUUGCUGUAAUCAAAAGCCUCAUCAACAAACUAUGCAAUCCCACCAUUAGUGCCGCCCGCCAUUAACUCCACCUACUCUCUUCGUGGAAAAUUUAUAGCCAGAAUAGUUAUUUCUAAACAACAGCCACCGCCGGAAACUUCCGAGUCCGGCAACGAAACAGAUUUCCCUAUCAUUGUUUCCAUUAAAGCUGGGUUUUCUAGGGUUUUUUCUUCUUCUAGUUUUUCGUUCCCGCUUCUCUGUAUCUUAUUCAUUCCUCGGUGUCUCAGAUUGUCGUUUUGGCGGUCGAGUGUGAUAUUUAAUAUUUUGAACCCUCAAAAUUUUUCUUUCAGAUUUUUUACUUAUAUUUUUUAAUUUUAAGAAAUUAAAUAUUUUAGUAAAUUAAAAGUAGAUUUUUAUAGUUAUUAUCUAUUUUACCUAUAUUUAAAAAAUAGAUAAAUUUGAUUCUAAAAAUUAGUCAAUUUAAUUUUAAAAUUCAAAUUAAGUCGAUUUAACUAUAUCUAUAUAAAUAUAUAAUAAAACUAAACUUGAUUAUUUUUUUCCAUCUUUGAUCUUUGAUUUUUGGUAUGUGGUAUAGGUCUAGAAUUUAAUUAAGAUUAAAACAUAUUUUAUAGUCGAUUAAUUUAACUAGAACUAAAUAAAAAUUUUAAUAUUAUCUUGUUAUUUUGCAUCAAUUUUAUUUUUUUAUAAGAGUCUUUUAAUUUCUUAGUCAUAUAAUAAAUUUUAAUUUAAAAUUUAUAUUAAGAAUUUUAGUUUAAUUUUCUAGCUACUCAAUUUUAUGAGUAUUCAAAAAUUAUAUGUCAUGUGUAGUCAUUCGUUUUUUAAAUAAAAUAAAUAGUAAUAAGUCAAUUUAAAAUUCAAAAAAAUAUAUUUUAUAAUCACUAUAAAAAAUAAAUUAAAAAUAUUUUUAUUUGAAAAACAACACGUAUUUUGCACUAAACACUUGGCUAGUCUUUAUAAGACACAAAUGGUAUUUAAUAUGAUGGACCAAUCUUCUAAUUUACGCGAAUUACCGACAAACCCAAGUUAAUAAAACUAUGCCAUUCCAGUUAAUAAAAAAAUAAAAAUAGUAUUAUUAAUUUAGUAAAAAAAAUUAUCUUUAAAUUAUAUUAGGAUCAGAAUUAAGAAGAUAGAUAUCAUCUUAUUCCUAUGGACCCUAUCCCCAUAUUUAUUUAGUAUAGUAUAUAUGGUCAAAUAUUAUAUUUAAUUAAAUGUAUAAUUAAGUCGAACAUAAAAAAUGGGUCGUGUGGAGGGCACAUAUAAUUUUAAUAAAAUCGACUAAAUUAAGUGAAACGUGAAAAAUGAGUCGUGUGGAGGGCACAUGAUUUAUUAAUACCACCAUCCAUCUCUCUAAUUCUCUCUCCAUUUAAAUGAAUUUAUAUUAAUUUUUAAAAUACUUUUAUAAUAUAAAAAAACAUGACUGCAAAAUAGAACUUACAUGAAGUGAUCUAAAACUGAUAUGAAUUUGAAUCAAUACAAUUAUAAAUUAUCUAAGAAGUAAGUAAUACUCCAUUAGUUCUAAGAAAAGAAAAUAUAUAUAUAUAUAUUGAACUUGAAAGGUAGUAUUUCAAAUAUCAACUUAAUAAAGACCUCUGGUUCCCACGGUCAAAGCUGAAUCGUCGUUCCAAGCUGGAGCACCGGAAUUUGUAGUCCAGAAAGGAGUAUUGAAAGUACUUGAAGGGCGGUACUGUAUCACAAAUAACCAAAUAAAUUAGUACUAGUACUAUCAGAUAUAGGGAAUAGGAAUCCAAUUAGCACUUUAUGGUAAGUUCAAUUCAUGUAACUGACAGAAAAAAUGAUCUCUCUGCUUGCAUGUCAGCACUGUAUUGGUCAUAAAAUAAACUUUAACUUGAACGUGAUCAAACUAACAAAAACGAAUCUACAUUUACACCGUCAAUAUGUAAGCGAUCGAUCAAGAAGAUCUUGCAUUUCCAAAUCUUAGUUUGGAUAACUCAUGACCAAAUUAAAGGUUAAACUGUGUACCCACCUUGUAUGGAUCCAUGGUGAUUGGAAGAGUGAUUGGGGUCUUCAAUGGAAGAGAUCGAGAUAUAUAUGAACCGACUCACAGUACUCUAGCCUACCUAGCUCUCUCUCUCCUUUAUACUACUACUCCAGCACCAGCAGGGUGGGUAACUGUGAACUAACACUGUGCAUGCUUGGUUACGUAAGGUUUGCGUUUGAAAUAAGAUUUUUAAACGUCCUUAUCAAAGGCACUUCAAAAUUUUAUUCAAUUCAAUUCCUAUAAAAAUAAUUUAUUUCAAAAGUAGUAAUUUAUUUAAUUAACAAACAAUGUGUUCGAGAUCAUACACAAACAUCAAAAUUGGUGCGGGUCCAAACUUUACGAACACUAGCCACUGUGUUUGUUUGUGAAUUUAACUUCCAGACAAUUUAAGUUGGUCAAAUAUUUAUCAAUAUGUAUAUUAUUUUUUGAUUUAAAUUGUAUAUACAAGAUAUAGUUUAUCAUGAACAGUAUUAAAAAAUGAGACUUGUUUUUAAAUGAGUCGCACGCUAAACGUAGAGUUAAUAAGUUAAAUAAGUUAUUAUAAAAGAAAUAAAUUUUUUAAGUGUGUUUGAACUUACAAACGUACCCAACAUCACAAAUAAUGGGACUGGGUUAGCAUGAAUUUGGCUUAGCAAGACCAUCGGUCGGUUGAACUCUACGGUGCCGACACGUCGUUAGCAUUUAAAUUAAUGGGUGAGAUUCAACAAUUCCGCACGACGUCGUUUGACAAAUCAAAUUCAAAUAAAUCGGAUGCAGCGAAGUAAUCGGCUCAAAGCGAAGUAAUCGACUCAAACAAGAGGAGAUUUAUAAUCGGCAUUGACAAGCGAUGAUUGACGUCAGGCGGGAGAUUUGGCGCCAUACUGAGUCCAUGUAAAACAGAGCUUCUUGAGAUUGGAAGGCAUUUAGUAGCAACCAUGUAAAACAGAGCAACGAGAAUUCAAAUAGUAAAUGUACUGAUUUAAAACAGAACUUCAUUAUUGAGAAUAGCAAAAAACAGAGCUUCUUCAUUCUUGUCUUUCAUUCACCAACAGGUGGUCUAUAUUGAGGUUAGUAUAUAUAAAUGUGUUGAACAUUAAUAGUUGUGAUACUAAAAAGAAAUAGUUGAUGCAAUAAACUUCAAUAUAUAACAGUAAUGAAGUUAUAAAGAAAUGUUGAUGUAAUAGAUUUAAAUAUUUANNNNNNNNNNNNNNNNNNNNNNNNNNNNNNNNNNNNNNNNNNNNNNNNNNNNNNNNNNNNNNNNNNNNNNNNNNNNNNNNNNNNNNNNNNNNNNNNNNNNNNNNNNNNNNNNNNNNNNNNNNNNNNNNNNNNNNNNNNNNNNNNNNNNNNNNNNNNNNNNNNNNNNNNNNNNNNNNNNNNNNNNNNNNNNNNNNNNNNNNNNNNNNNNNNNNNNNNNNNNNNNNNNNNNNNNNNNNNNNNNNNNNNNNNNNNNNNNNNNNNNNNNNNNNNNNNNNNNNNNNNNNNNNNNNNNNNNNNNNNNNNNNNNNNNNNNNNNNNNNNNAAAAGUACGUUGUCAACAGCUUUGAUGAGAAUCACAAUCACUUAUUACACAUUCCUGAAUGCGUUCAUUUGAUGCGAUCUCAACGUGAUGUAGCCAAAACACAAGCGAUUGAGAUUGAAUUAGCAUAUAAUUCUGGAAUAAAAUCCAAACAAACCCAUGAGUUGAUGUCUAGACAAACUGGCGGGAAGGAUUGUGUUGGUCACACAAGAUCAGAUCAGAAGAAUCAUUUACAAACAAAAAGGCAAAGAGAUAUGAAAUACGGUGAAGCUGCCAGCCUUUUAUUGUACUUUCAGAAGCAGUUGUCUGAAAAUCCGUCAUUCUUUUAUGCAGUUCAAUUAGACAACGAUGAGCAGAUAACAAAUAUAUUUUGGGCAGAUGCAAAGAUGAUAAUCGACUAUGCUCAAUUUGGGGAGGUUGUUACUUUUGAUACCACUUAUAAAACAAAUAGCUCGUAUAGACCUUGUGGUGUUUUUGCAGGUUUUAAUCACCAUAGGCAAGCUGUCAUAUUUGGUGCAACAUUAAUGUAUGAUGAGACAACGUCGUCGUUUGAGUGGUUGUUUUGUAGUUUUUUGGAUGCCAUGUCCCAGAAGAAACCCAUUACAAUAUUCACUAAUCAAGAUCAUGCAAUAGCAAGUGCAUUAUCAUCAACGAUGCCGGACACAUAUCAUGGGUUGUGUAUUUGGCAUAUUGCUCAAAAUUGUGUGAAGCGUAUGUCCCCCGUGAUGAAAGAAAAUAGUCAAGAAUUUCUACAAGCAUUUAUAAAUUGUGUCCAUAAAUAUGAUGAUGAGUCCACAUUUGAAAAUGCUUGGACUGAAAUGAUUGCCAAGUAUAAAGUUGAGUCAAAUGAGUGGAUGCAAUGUACAUUCAUUGAAAGAAAAAUGGGCAAGAUGUUAUACUAACAAAACUUGUACUUUGGGAAUGAGGAGUACACAACUCAGUGAGAGUUUGAACGCAGAUAUCAAAGAUUACUUAAGCUCAGAAAUUAAUUUGGUAUAAUUCUUUACACAUUUCAACCGGCUACUUGAGGCUAAGAGAUAUAAAGAGUUGGAGGCCGAGUAUGAGGCAAGGGAGAGAGUACAAUAUGGCAGGGUGAAGAGGACACCAAUGUUGAAUGAAGCUUUCAUUCACUAUACCCCUGCAUUAUUUUUUGAAUUCAAAGAACAAUUUGAUAAGUCACUUUGCCUUGUUAUAAAGUCUGUUGAGGAGAAAGAGGAAGGGCAAUUCGAGUACGUAGCAAGUUACUUUGGGAACGAUAAAAUACAAACUGUUAUAGGCAACCCUACUUGCCAAGAAGUUGUGUGUUCAUGUAAAUUGUUUGAGACAAAAGGUAUCUUAUGCUCUCAUACAUUGAAAAUUUUGGACAUUAUGAAUAUCAAAUUAGUUCCAAAGAAAUAUAUCUUGAAAAGAUGGACAAUGUUUGCGAGGAAUGGGCAGAUAAAAGACAGUUAUGGAAGAGAGGUAGAGGGGGAUCCAAAACUAAAAUUAGGCAGUCGGUAUCGAAUGUUAAUUCCAAAUCUAGUUAAGAUUGCUCAUCGAGCAGCAGAAUGUGAAGAGGCAACGAAAAUGAUUAAAAAAGCAAUUAGUGAGCUAUCUGUAUGUGUUCAAGAAAUAUGUAAUAGACAAACAAACAUGCAACAAGAGAAAAACAAUGAUUCUCAUGAAGUGGACCGUCAUGAGAUAGCGGUUAAUUCCAUUACAGUUAAUGUACCUGCAAGAGUAGGAAUUCCAAAAGGGGCAACAGUACGAGGAAUCAAAAAAAGGUCGAGAUCACAUAUGGGUCAGUCACGACUGAAGUAUUGGUUAGAAAAAAUGGCAGGGAAAAAGAGGCAAAAAAUGGAAGUAAAAAUGUCGAGGUAUGGAUAGCAAUAAUAUAUAAAUAUACAUAUUGAAUUAAAUGAGUGCUAAUAUAAAUAUGCAUACUUAUUACAUUUGUAUACAAAUUUGUAUAAUUUUAAACCAUGGACAGAUGACGAGAUCAAAUGGAAGGCAUGGUGAUGAACAAGGAAGUGGACACUCAUCAUUUGGAAGGCAUGUUGAUGAACAAGGAAGUCGACACUUAUCAUUUAUUGAGUUGUUAAUGUCUUCGUUUAAUAGCGAACUUUUUUAGUUAAUGUUACUACUAUGUAAUAUAUGAAAUAACUGUUAAUGUCUAUGUUUAAUAGUUUAUUGGUUUUUGUGGACAUAGUUUCCAAGUAGUACUUAAUUUUGUUGACUAGAUGGUAGGUUAUGUAAGAUUAGGCUUUUGAAGCUUUAAUGAACAGCUUUAUGCGUUUUCUUGUGUAAACUUCAGUAUUCUAGAAUUUGCGUUUUAUUUUAAUUUGUUCUUUUAUAAGUUUCAUCAGAUGGGAUGAUGUGGUUAGCAAUGUCUAUGCUAACUUGGAAGGAAGUUUCAUUCAAUUUUGUUGCAUUUUAAGCCAUUCUUUUAGUAAGUUUCAUUGUUUCACCUGGCCUAUUAUUCAUGUUUCUGGGUUGCUUUUUUUAAUUACUGUUAUUGUUAUUUUUUAUUCCUUCUGGUUUUGCUGGUCUGUGCUCCUUUUUUGGAAGUUGGUUUGUGCUUGGUCUGUGCUACUGUUAUUGUCCUUCUGGUUUAAGCUGGUUUGUGCUACUGUUAUUGUAUGUGCUCCUUUUUUGGAAGUUGGUUUGUGCUUGGUCUGUGCUACUGUUAUUGUCCUUCUGGUUUAAGCUGGUUUGUGCUACUGUUAUUGUAUGUGCUCCUUUUUUGUUGGUCUGUCCUCCUUUUCCAUUUAUUGAUCAAAUAAUAUGGUCAUGAUUUAAAUAUAUUUCUACUGUAGGGUGGACAAGUAAUCAAAUGCACUGCUAUGUUAGCAUGUGGUAACUAUCAUGGUGUUAUUGGUUUUGCAAAAGCAAAAGCACCAAGAGUUCCUCUAUAUAACUUCUCAAAUUUUAUUUGUUCAUCAAGUUUUUUAUUUUGUCUGUACAACUUUGUGAAAAAUUAUACUAUUGUCAAUUUUUUUGGAAAAUCAUUUACCCUUGUAUCAUGUAGUGUGAAUGACAGCAUGGCAGUUUCUUUUAAUUUCAAUUUGUUUGUGUCCAGUAUUCUAUAAUUUGUUUGUGUUCAAAAGAAUUAUUUUGAUUCUUCUUUAUUUGUUUGAUUGUAUAUGACUUGUAAGUUGUACAAACUCAGAACAUCAAAUCUAAACUGCAAUGGAAGUUGUAAUGUGACACCCCCAAAAUAGGUCUACAUCACCCAUUCUGAGUUGUCAAUACACGGUACAGAAACAACUACAACUUUAUUAUUACAAUAGUAAAACUGUGAGUUUAAAUACAGAUAUUGCCAUCUAGACAAUAUCCACAUACAAAUAAAUCNNNNNNNNNNNNNNNNNNNNNNNNNNNNNNNNNNNNNNNNNNNNNNNNNNNNNNNNNNNNNNNNNNNNNNNNNNNNNNNNNNNNNNNNNNNNNNNNNNNNNNNNNNNNNNNNNNNNNNNNNNNNNNNNNNNNNNNNNNNNNNNNNNNNNNNNNNNNNNNNNNNNNNNNNNNNNNNNNNNNNNNNNNNNNNNNNNNNNNNNNNNNNNNNNNNNNNNNNNNNNNNNNNNNNNNNNNNNNNNNNNNNNNNNNNNNNNNNNNNNNNNNNNNNNNNNNNNNNNNNNNNNNNNNNNNNNNNNNNNNNNNNNNNNNNNNNNNNNNNNNNNNNNNNNNNNNNNNNNNNNNNNNNNNNNNNNNNNNNNNNNNNNNNNNNNNNNNNNNNNNNNNNNNNNNNNNNNNNNNNNNNNNNNNNNNNNNNNNNNNNNNNNNNNNNNNNNNNNNNNNNNNNNNNNNNUGUAAUGAAUUUAUUGAUCACUAUAAAAGCUUUGCAAUGAAAAUCACUAAGAAGAAACUGCAAGUUGCUGUUGCAUAUGAAUUGACUGAUUUGCUUAUUAAACUUGUAUUCUGCAGAUAACAGAUGGAUCACAUUCACAAAAAUAGUCUUCAUAUACAGAUACAAUAGCACAAGGAUAAUGAAUAAGUUUUACAACAACAAAAUUUAGCAAAAGGCAAAAUAUUUUAUUAACUGAGAAAUGAAACUCCAAAAUUCAAAAGACUUGAAUUGUUGGAAAUUUUACAAUUGAAUAAGAUUACAUUGAUAACACAUAUAGUAAAACAAAGCUUAAAUACUAUAACUGAUAAAAUGCAUGAGCCACCUACAUGACAAAUUCGAAAUACCAACUCUGCAGAUUCUUAAACUCAACUCUGCAGAUUCUUAAAGCUUAGUUCAAGCCAAAGUUCAACCAAAAAUAACUGCUGCAAUUACAUUGCCUUCAAGUAUACAAUUUACAUGACAAUCUCUCAAUAACUAAGCAAUACACAAUGCCAUUUAUGUCCAAGCUUAAGACGGUGCAACCAUUGCUGUAUGGAUCAUACACUCCCUAAAUAAUUUCUAAAAACUGUGAAACAGUAUGCAGCUAUACACUCCAAAAAAAAUAAAUACAAACUCACCAAAAUAACCAUUCAAUUAUGAUCAAACAUUCACAUACAUCACAAAUGCCAAAUCAAUCAUAAUAAAAUUACUAACAUUAAUUUAAUCCAAGUCAAGUCAUAAAUACUAAAUAUAAUAACAUUAGCUCGAAACUUUUCCUUACAUUUUGACAGUCAUUAGCUUUACAUAAAUACCCAUAAGUCAGUAGUUUCUUCCUAAUUUUUACAUCAAUAACCUUCAACUUUUAUCAACAAAAGUAUACAUUUAUAAGCCCAAGGUUAACUCAAAAACUGACUACUAAAUAACCCAAAAUUCAGCCACCAACAACCAUCUUCAUGAAGAGAUGAUAACCCAAAAACCAGCCACCAACAACCAUCUUUCAUGUAGAGACAAUAAAGACAACCACAAGCAAAAACAAAGCUCCAACCAACCCAUAGAGCACAUGUCUCUCUUUCUUAUAGCUGGACAAUAGUUUUGAAUGUCAAUUACCUGACUUUGUAAAUCACCUUCAUAUUGAACUGCUUCCGCGAGUUGCUCUACCAGAUAUUUUUCAUGGGCACGAGAAGCUUUCAAAUCAACAAUAAGGGUAUUAUUUUUAGUCUCUGUUUCAUUGAGUUUGUUCCAAAUUCUAGGAAUAAUUUUCUUCCCCUUCUUACAUAGAGAAGGAUCAAUCCACUCAAAAAAACCACAAGUAAGUCCCAUCUACAAAAUCAGCAAAAUCAAAAUUUUAAAUUUUAUUAGUAUUUACUAAUAAAUAGAUUAUAAGUAUGUAUGUAUCAAGUAUUCAUAAAGGAAGAAAUAAAAAUUCAUACAGAUAGCGGGCUCCAAUAAGCACAUCCAUAAAAUUGGCGCCCCAAAUUUCGUACAGUCCAAGCGGUCUUCAAUUGAGCCAAUUUUCCACAAUAACAAUAUUUGGGAUGAUCAGAAGCACUGGAUUGGGUGGAACGUGCAGGGUGCGAAUGUUGAGUUGAGUGCAAGGUGCAAUUAGAGGUGGAAUAACUUUGAUCGGAAGUAGGUUGCUGAGACAUUGAAGCAGUCUGCUGUUAGUAGGGAGGAGCAGAACUUGGGUGGAGAGGAAAGAAACAUCCUAUAAUGCUAUAAAUAAGGGGGAGAAGGAACAAUUGGCGCCAAAUCUCCCGCCAGACUCUCCUGCCACAUCUCGAUCUUCACUCGCCGUCCCUGCGUCGCCGCCAGACUCAGACAUCAAUCAAUUUAAAAUUGGAUGGGUCAUGUAUAAAUCUCCCCUUGUUUGAGCUGAUUACUUCGCUGCAUCCGAUUUAUCCGAAUUUGCUUUGCCAAAGUUUUGUCAAACGACGCCGUGUGGAAUUGUUGAAUCUCGACCAUUCAUUUAACUGUUAACAACGUGUCGGCACCGUAGAGUUCAACCGACCGAUGGUCUUGCUAAGCCAAAUUCAUUCUAACCCAACCCCAAAUAAUGAAUAUCCUUAAUACUUAUGCCAUACUUAUUAUUUUGACAAUAAUAUUUUUUGGUCAAAACAUAUAAAUUUUUUUAAAAAAAUAACUGACAAAUAUUAUUUUAAAUAUAUAUAUAUAAUAAUAUAUAAACCACACAUAUAUACAUGUAUGUGUAUAGAAGCGACUCAUAUACAUAUAUGUGAUAGUAAUAGUAUUAUUUAAUGGCAUAUAAUGCCGGUUUAUCAAAUCUAUUAUUGGAGGAAGAAAGCAUAGUAGAGUACGAGUAGUUGUUGUGUAUAAAAGGAUAAGGUUUAAAUUGUCAAAGUCAACAUUGAUUGCUGAAAAUGAGCCGUCGGUUUAUCAAUAAUGCACAAUUGUGGGCCCGUCUUUUGGACAACUAGAUAGUACUACCACCACCAUGACAACAACCAUCCGUAAAGUUAAAGUCAUUUAGUGAGUGAUCCAAUUCUUCAUUCACCGAACACAAAUUGUUGUUGUGGACCCCACUUUAUUCAGACAAUUUGGCACAGUAAUCAAUAAAGUUAUAUUAAAAAUUCAGCAACAAAUAAUUGAGGAGAGAUCAUGGACCAUGGUUCCAAUAUCCUAUAUUUUUCGGUUAGCAUGAAGUUUAAUUUUUGAUAAGUUAAUCAAAUGAUCAAUAGAAUAUUGAUACAUAUAGAAUUUUGUUUGUGUAUCAGUACUCUGUUGGCCAAUUAAUUAACUUACCAAAAAAUAAACUUCAUGCUAACCACUUCCUUUUUAAAAACGAUUGGGAACUGAUAUUUCUAGGCGAGUCUUUUUAGUAUGGUGGUGAGAUUUGUUUACUCUCUCGGUUUUAUAAUAAUUAUUUUAAAUAUAUAUAUAUUUUAAUUUAUUUGUCGUUUAUAACUUUUUAAGAAAAUAAAAUUUAUUUUUUUAUAUUAUCCUUAAUUUCUGUCAUUUUUCAAAUAAAAUUUAUCUCUUGCAUUAAUAGUUUUCAACUUUCGGGUAGUGAUGAAAUUUCAUAUAAAUUUUAAUUCUUAAAUGAUAAUAUUAAAUUAUUUUCUUAAUUCAUGUACAUAAAGCUAAAAAGAUAAUUAUUAUGAAACCCAAAGAGUACUAUUUAUGUGAAAAAAAUUAGGUAAAAAUAUUAACUUUUUAUAUGAAAAUAUCAAUUCACACAAUCUGAAGGUGAUACACAAACUUUACAAUAGAAAAGAAGAAGAAGAAGAAGAAAUCUCAUAAUAAAAAGAGAGAAAUCACAAGAGUACAAUAUUAUUGACAAGAAAUCUUUUAAUUAAUAGUAAAAAUUAUCUAAUUUAUUGUUUCUAAUUAAAUGGUAUGUAAUUAAAGAAAUUAUAUAAAUUUUAAGCUCACAAAUAAACUUCAAAAAAAAUUAAUAUUGAAUUUAUAUUUUGAAAAGAAACGAAUAAUAAUUUCAAUAUAAAUUUAUACUCACGAUAUUACAUGUUUGUACCAUGCGCAAGAAUCACUGUAUAUGAUAAUAAAUUUUAAAAUAUAAUUUUCCAAAAUUAUAGUCUUUGGAGUUUUAUGAGUAUUAUAUAAUUAAAUAAUUGAUUCAUUAUGCAGUGCACUACUACCCUAUCCACAACUGUGUCUCCAAAGUCCAACCACGUGAAGGAGGAAUGGACGUCGAAACUUCCUCACAUUGGGGAUUUUAUAUUUAUGGCAUUAAUGAAUUUUUUUAUUUUAUUAUGAGAUUAAUACAUGUGUAUAUAUAUCAAAUUAUAAUUAUAUAUAUUUAUUAAAUUUAAAUGUGUACUAUUAUAAUUAUGUAAUUUAUAUUUAAGAAUUAUAAGUUAAUAUUUAAAUUACUCUUAAAAUAACUCACUAAAUUAAUUUGAAUAAAAUCUUCUUUGAUUUGUUAUAGUAUAUUGUUAUUAAUACGCGACGGAUCGAAUCGUCGUCCGAUCCGUUGUUAAAAGAGAGUAAGCAAAGUAUGUGGAUCAAAGGGUAUGUAAUUGAUCAUUUUUAUAUAUAUAAAUAUAUAUUAUAUAUAUAUAUAUAUUAAAUUCAAAAAUCAAAAGAUAAGGUCUAAUAAUUUGAAAGGGAAUAAAUGUGAUAAUAGUAAUAUAAUAACAUGCCAUAUAAACUUGGUCUCCGUUUGGAUGAUGGGAGAGGAAAGUAAAAUAAGGAUAGUGAGAGGUCUCCAAUUUAAUAGGACUAGUCCGAUUAUCCGUGUUUGGCACGGGCCUAUUAUUAACAAAUUAAAAAAUAAUUAGAAUUGAUUUAUUUAUUAUUAAAAAACAAUUUUAUAGCAAUAUAUAAUUAAAAACAAUCAAUUCUAAUAACUAAUAAAAUGUUAUCAAUUAGUUGAUAUUAUUCAUUUAAGUCUGAAACAACAAAUUUUAUAAUUAAUAUUACUUUUUUUUCAAAUAAUUUAUAACAUUGAUAACUAUAUUAAAAAAUUAUAUGAGUUGUUUGUAAAAAUAUGUAUUGAUCUUAUAUGUUGAAAAGGAGAGAUCGUACAUUUUUAGUAUAAAAUCUUAUUUAAAUGAAGAAUAAAAUUAAAUAAUUUAUUAAAAUUAGCAUAUCAAAUGAAACAUAAUAUUCUAAUAAGAUAUAUUUUUUAUAUAAAAAAAAAAAAAACUAAAACCAAUUAAAAGACAAAAAACAAUGUAGCACAUACCAUAUAUGCAUGAGGGAGAACCAAACUAUAAAUAGACUGAUGGAGAGAAUAAAAUUAAUGGAAAAUAAUUAAUUGUGAGGAGGUUAAGAUUUUUAUAAUAUAUAAUGUCAAGUUUUACGUAUUAAAGUGGAAUACUAAGCUAAUGUUAAUCUAAUAGAUUUUCAUAAAUGGAUAGUGACAAAAUAAAAAUUAGAAACCAAUCAAAUUUGAGAUAGUAAGAAAAUAGGAAUCAGUUACCUAUUUCGCAUAGGAAACUCGACCCAUUUAACUCAGUAAUUUCAAUAAUAUAAUAUAAUUACUCCGUUUGUUCCCCAUUUUCGUUUACAUCUAAUUUUGAUUUUACUUAAUUACCAAAAUUUUAAAUUCAAAUUAUGAUGUAAAAUUAUUUUAAGAGAAUUGAUAUUUUCACGUAGGUAAUUGAUAUUUUUACAUGAUCCCUCUCACAUAAAUAGUGAGUAAAUGUCACAUUCAUGUAAAAAUAUUAUUUUAAUAAGUGAAUAUAUCAAUUUCUUAUUUAUUUUUAAAACAUCUAUUAAAAUGAAUUGUUAAAAGAUUGUCAUUUUCUAAUGAAAAUGGAUGUAACAGUAGCUCUAGUUGAAAUUUCAAAAUCUUUAUCGAUGGAGGAUCUGUGAUGAAAAUGGCAUGUUGAAAGUGAUUUAUUAAUAAGAAUUUUAUAUUUAAUAAUAUUUUUUUAAAAAAAAAUUAAAUUAUUUCAUUGAUCGAGACUAAUUUAAAUUUAAAUUUUUAAUUUUUUAGUUGGACGAUAGUGACUAUGCAAUAGUACACUUAAUUUGUCCAUAUAUACUAUUCAAAAGAUAUCCAGGUAAAAUAUCAUAUUCACUUUGUGGCUAAGUAAUUUAUAAGUUAUAUAUGAGUUCAUGGUUUAAUAAUAAAAAAUAAAAAUAAAUUUCAUUUCAUUUUUUAGUGAUAAGAAAAAUGCAUAAAUUUUUUCAUAUUUUAUAGGCAUAUUUAAUAUUUUCACAUGCACUGUUCAUACGAGUGAGAGAGAUCGUGUAAAAAUAUUAAUUUUUUAUGUGAAAAUAUCAGAUAUUAACAAAGACUAUUUAAUUACUUUUCUUUUUAAAAAAAUUCAACCAAAAAAUGAAUGAAUGAAAACGUAAUAAUAUAAGCAAAUAUUUUAUAUAUUAUGUCCUCUAUAUUAUAAACACAAUGUAAAAUUUAAAUAUUCUUCUUUUCUUUUCUUUAUAAAUUCAGUAAUAACAUAAUAGAUAAUAUAUAAUUUUUUUAUUAAAAAUAAGUUUUUCUAAUCUUUUCUUUUACCUUUACAACUCAAAAACAUGUUAAUCCGAAUUUUUUUACAUAAAGAAGAAAUAUGAAUAUAUUUAAUUAUGCAAAAAUACGAAAGUACCCUUGAAAUAAAAACAUUUUUCAACCAUGUACACGUCCGGUUAAGAAAAUUAAUGGGGUCCACAACUCCAUAUAUUAGUAGUUGGAUUUUUCUGAAAUUCAGAACCAUUCGGUGGCAAUGUUAAUCAUAACUACUCCACGACAAACCAUUAGUGUCAAUGUACAUGCAUGCAUGGUCCCAUGCAAACGUCUUGAAGUGUGCGCUAAAAUAAAAUAUGUGAUUUUAAAAUUUUGCACAUGAAUUAAAUAAAUAAUUAUAUAAUAUUAAAUAUAAUAUUAAUUAUUUAUAAUACAUUUAAAUUCUUAUAAUUAUCAUAUUUAAUCACCGUAAUAAUUUAAAAGCCGUAUAUAUUUACAGAAGAAAAUCUAAUCACCGUAUCUGUUCAAAAUUUGUGUUACGUAUUUUUUUUCUUAUUAUAAAAUUUUCUUUUCUAUUUAUUUUUUACGUGAUUUGUAAUUUCAGUAUUCUAUUGAUCAAUUAACCAACUUACUCAAAAAUAAAUUUUUUAUUAAUCGGAUCCGCGUAUCAUACUCCCUUAGUCGGAUAUCAAUUUUUAAGUGCUUAUCCAUAUUGCACAGCAUGAUAUUUCAGUGGAGAAAUAUUUUUGAUUUCUUUUGUUAAAAUUAAAUUUGGUAUAAUCUCAUCCACAACACGAUGAACCAACUCCUUUGACCCAACUCAUAAGUAUGAGUCACAGUCUUAAUAGGGAAGGACCAUCAGAUAACGAACAUGUUUAAUUAUAAUCUCAUCCACAACACGAUGAACCAACUCCUUUGAGCUUCCUAUUGGAGACAAGUUUUUUAGUAACUCAGCCAUAGGUCGGUCAGGUGAGAUUACAAGGAUAACGCACCGUAUUACAUACACAUAUCCUAACAUUAUCAUUUGCAUCAAUAUAAUUUUUCUAAUAUAAUUAUAAGAUAUUAACAUAAUAUAAUACAAUUAUUUUAUUUUAAUCAAUACAAUAAUAAAUACUGUAACAACAUAAUUUGAAGUUUAAUAUUAGAAAAAACGUCUAAAUGUACUCUAAAGAGAUUUAAAUAUUUAUAACAAAAAAAAUGAAAUCUUUCUAGGAAAGAGGGAGUAUAAAAUAUUAUUUCCUCCCUCCCUCUAAUUUUUUCCUUGUAAUUUAUGGACAUUCUAUAAAAAAGGUUAUUUUCUGCUCAAUAAUAAAUAUAUAAAUAAUGUUACUAUCACAUAAAAAAGGAUUACAUAAUACGUAUAUAUUUGUGGACCUCACAUGUCAGCGGGGACUCACAAUAUGUAUACGUGUAUGUGAAUAUUAUGUGAUUUUUUUAUGUGAUAUUAACAUUGUUGCUGUUAUAUUCGAGCCAUAACAAAAUUUUCAUUUGUACUUUAAAUAAUCAAGACAUUGUUUUUUGGGAAAAAAACGCAUAACAAUUGGUGUAUCACAUAUCACGUUCUUUGGGAUAAAAACACAUAACAAUUGGUGGCGUUUUCUUUUUCACCCGAACAAUCCCAAUAAUUAAAUCCUUACACACUGCUACAAAGAGUGGCGGCCUUAUUUAAUAAGUAUAAAAGUGAAGUUGAUAUUCUAAUUACUCGAAUAACUAGAAUUUUUUUUGUUGCGUAAUAUUUUUCUCUAAUAGCGGAGAUUUUUUCAACCGCUAUAACAUAAAAACUCGUCACUAUAGCCGGCUAUAUUUAACAGGACAGUUCAAACCGUCGUUUUAACCCGAUUCGUCUUUAAUUCGUUAGAUAAAUUUUUCAUAUAUAUAUAGAAAUUGAGAGCUAAUUCAUAACAAAUGGCGGCUAUAAAACCUAAAAUGUCACCCACAUUUUGCACAGUUGAUUAUAAGAUUUGAUGAUAUUUAAAAAUUCAACUCUCCUACCACAAUAUAGUGUUGCCAUUUUGUAUGGAUCAACGAUAUCGUAUAUAUAAUUGGUCACAAAGUAAACAGUUUCGCAAAGGUGAAUAUUUGAUUUUAAUCCAUAUAAAAUGGGGCAAAGGGGUAGUAGUAUCAGUAACAUUGAUUGUCCUGUGGUGAUAUAUAGGGGCGUGAUCAUAGACAAAACUGGCCAUGGCCAUGGAUCAUAUUCAGCUAACUUAGCUGUCUAUGUAUGUGUAGAUUGUAAAUGGCAAUUAUAUGAAACACUCACUCUGUUUCAAAAUAUAAGAUCACAUGGAGGUAGAAUAUAAUUUAUAUUGCGUAGUUAAUCCACGCAAAUUGUAUAAAAUUAUAAAAAUCAUGUCUUGUAACAUACAUACAUACGUACAACCUCUUUAUUUAACUUAUAAGAAUUAAACAGAACAAGGUGAUGAAGGGGUGAAAAUAACACGAAACACUUUGACCAAAAUCUGGAUACCCGAAAAUUUUGGUUGAAGCAACCAGCAGCAGGGUUAACCUACAGGCUACAUACAUAAAAUAAGCAAUUGAUCCGGCAUAACUUUUGUCAUAUUUCAUUUCUUGGACGGGGGUGGUUGACUCGUAUGAUGCGGUGGUUUGAUAGUUGCGGCAGAUUUCCCCAAGAUAUUAAGUAUCUUCAUUCGUUGCCACUCUUUUCCUGCAAUAUAGGAAGAUCAAAACCAAAUGCAAUAGUAUGUAUGCUCUCCCGUUUUAUUUUCCUUUUGAUAAUAAUAUCCUUCACUAUCCAGUUAAAUGUGAUACUGUUCAUUUAACUUUUUUUUUAAAACAUGGAAAUAAAUCUUAAAUUAGAACAAAAAAUAUAGAAUACAUAGCAUCCACUAGUUUAACAUGGGAAGAACAAUUGUGAUAGUCAUAAUAUAUGGUCAUGACUGAUGCUUAUAUAUAUAUAUAUAUACAGGAUUUUGUGUGUUUAAGUUGCGUAUAUAUUCAUAUAUGUAUGUUCGGUAUAACUUGUAUAUAUUAUAGAUAUGAGUGCAUGUGUAGUAUGCAUCAGUGUGGUGUGAGCUUAAAAUGUAUAAUUAUGGUGGGGUUUUGUAUCUUAGUUAAUGGACUAGCCAUUUAAGACAGUAGACACAUGUAAGUAUAUAUCAUCCAAGUCAGUAGGCAUAUUUACUUUUAUAUCAUAUGUGAAUUGUUAGUAGCUUUUUAGUAGUAUUUAUAUAUAAAAAUCAUGGACUUUAAACUAAUAACAGAAUUAUUAAUUAGCUAAUAUUAUUAUUUUAUCUUAAAGUUCAUAUUUCUAACACCAAAACUUAUAAAUUUCAUAAAUUCUUAAAAGAUCUAUUAUAGUGAUUAUUUGCAAAUUGAAAAAUAUUUGAGUGAAGAGUAUGAGUAAAUUAGGAUAUUGUAUCCUAAUGAUUUUAUUUGUUUUAAAUUUAUAUUUAGGAUUUAUAUAAUCCACUCAAUCCCUCAACAGUGCCCACAUUGCAUGAUAGCAUUGGGUAUUGCACUUUCUGCAAUAUACUUUUUGGCUUAAGCUCCUUAUCGAGGUUAAUUUGUGAACAAAUUUCUGUUUUAAAAGGAGGUAUAAAAUACAUAAACAGUGAAGAAAGAUGUUCUAAUUUCUGAGUCCUAUACAACACAGGCAUAGUAUUUGUAACAAAAUAUGGAGACUGCACCUAGUGAAAGUUGAGAUAACCCCUUCAUUUGCUAACUCAAGACCUUUUAUCACAUAACAUUUUGAGCUAUUCACAAGUACCUCCUACCUAUAGGAAAUCUAUACUUCAGAGAUUGCUCUAUGUUAUGUACAAGAGAAACAUUGCAUAUGUAGAAACAAAAUUGCUGUACCUUCCUCUAUUGUUAACUGGAUUGCUAUUUUCUCCAGUUCAACUGCAUAGAUGCUAAGUUCAGCCGGGGAAAGAUGUCGAAGCUCUAUUACGAUCACAUAAAAAAAACAAAACAGCAUCCAGAUUUUCAAAACAGCUAAUGUAAGGGACAUAUCUAGUGAACUAGCAACACUACAGAAAUACAAUAACUUACUCUGAAUGUGAUCUCUGUGAUUAGACUCAUCAUCACAUAUCUUUAAGAAAUUCUGUAGAUGAAUGAACCGCUCUUCCCAUUUUUGAUCAUCAGCUCUCUUAGAACUAGUAAAGCGGGGAACCUCCGAGGAGACCUUAAGGGAAUCAUGUUCAGCAGCUCGAACCCCAUUACCAGGCUUACCAAGAGAACUGGGUAAUGACGAGGAGGCAUAAGAAAGGGUCAUCUUUGGAGCCAUGUGAUUUUGUGAAACUGCAGGAACACAAUGUGUAUUACUCUCCCUCAUAUGGGUUUGUUUUCUGGAUAUUUCUUGCUGCACAUUGCAAAAAUGCCUCAGUUGGGGACUGCUAACAUACUUAUUCGUGUUGUUUUGAAUUCUUCCUUUCUCAGGUUCAAACUCAAAUUUUUUACGGGUAUCCAUGAGAUGUUCUUUUGCAGUGGGUUUGGUCAAUGUUGGAGGAAAAGAGUGGGUUGAAGGGCACUCAGGUGUUAACCUCUUAGUUCCACAAACCUUAAUUGUAUCUGCAAUAGGUCUCCCCUCAUUUUGAACAUCUGUCAGCACCAUCUUCUUCGUUGUAAUUGGUGACUGCUUAUGGAAAGUACGCAUGCCAGUUCCACUAUUGUCUGGCCCAUUGCUCUUGAGUUCAGAAUUAACCAUUUCUUAAAUCAGAACUAACUCGGAUCACAGAAGAAUACCCACGAUUAGACAGGAGAGAGGCCUGACCACGAAUUAAAGCAAAAUCAGCAACUAAAAGAUUUCCUAAAGCAAAUGACAACAUACAUUUAUACAUAUACGAAGCUAAAUAAUAAGCAAUAAUAAAGUACAGCCAAAAGAGUUCCUCAUUAGAAGACAACAAUAAGUAAGAACGUUGAAGAAUGUAGCCCAAAAAAGAUAUGGCGAUGCACUUUGAAUAAUUUUUAAAUGUUGAUCAACUAACUUCCAAUUUAAUGAUCUAGCUACUGCUAACUUUAAGUCUCGAGCUUUUAUUAACAUAAUCAAGCAUCGCAGGGAAAAUAGAUUAAAGAUUGUAACUUCAAACAAAAUUAAAUAGGUCAACAGACAACAACUAAGCAAUACUUGAUUUAGCAAAACAAUAAGCACAUACUGAUUUACCUAAAAUAUACAUUAUCCAUUUGUUUUUGUGUAAUUUAUUUUCCCAAUUUAGGGAUCAGAGGAACAACAAAUUUAAGAAACCUAAUAUUCAACCCACAAACACUUUAUACCAAUAACAGCUAAUUGGGGUCCUAAAACAGCAAAAACGCACACACUAUAGCUUUCCCUCUUGUAAGUUCCCUAAAUAAUAUCGCGGAAACAAACAAAAAUAGAAAUAUUCAAAAUUUAACAGUUGCAGAUAAUUUACAAGCAGAUACUAAACAAUUGCAUUUUGCACAAAAAGAUUCAACUUUAACUACCUUUAAUUAAAAUAUUUCCUAAAUUGAACCAUUUUAAGUACACAAAUUCAAACCCCGAAAAAAUUAACAAUUAAAAAAGUAAGGAAAAUCGAUCCAGCCAGAACAAAAGCAGAGCAUAGAGAUUGCAGAGAGAUUUACCCCUUCUAUUGCUGAAAGAAGGCACCGGAUUUGAGGAGAGAGAAAGCGAGAGACGGCGCGAGAGAAAGGGGGAGGGGUUUUCAAAAGAUGUAAGCUUUGGCUCCAAAGGAGAGUGGAAAGAAUUCACUAAUUUAGUAAAUUAAAGAGGAUACAUAAAUGUUUGUUUAAACACUUUUUGGUAGAAUAAUUAAGACCCUAAAAUGAUCAAAUACUUCGGCUCCAUUUGUUCGAUUUAAAAUAUAAAUAAUUUAAAUAUUAAUAAAUUUUAAUAUUUAAAAAAUUAUUUAAAUCUUCUCAAAUUAUAAUUUUCUAAUCAUAUUCGAAAAAUUUAAAUUAUUUGGGCUCAAUUCGAGAUCGUAUUUGACUCGGUAGUGUCAAUCAAACAUUAUUUUAUACUCUAUAAAAUUUGUGAACUAAAUUUGAACAAUUCAAUACUAGGCUCGACUCGACUUAAUUCACGUCGUUUAAUUUAAUGAAGGAAAAUUGACAACUUUAUGUUGUUAUUUGUUCUGGUUUUUUAUUGGGUUUUAUAAUUAAGAAAAUAUGAUUUUAUUUUUUUUGCCAAGUAUAAAUAGAAAUAUAGGGUUAAGUAAACAAUUUUAUUGUUAAAAUUAAGGCACUAAAAUCAUUAGGUGGUUACCUAUUUGGCUAUUUGGUUCUAGUUAGUGAAUUUAUUCAUGACUUUUCUGUGUAAAUAAUUAGUAUCCCAUGUUUCAACUUAUUUUUAGGCUCAAUGUUUCUCGUUUGUAAAAUCAUAAAGCUUUCAAGGUUUUUGGUAGACAAAGCCUACCAACAAGCUAGUCUAGCUAGAAUUUCCACAUGUACUAUUUUUCAAUAUUAAUGUCAUACUUUAUUAUUACCAAAAAUAAUAAAAUACAGUCUCACUUGAUAGUCAUAAUAACACUCACAUCUCCUCUAAUUUUUUAAGUAACAGUUAAUACUCUUGCAAAAUUUUAGAAGUUGACUAAAAAGGUAAGUUACAUAUUUACCCUUACAUGUUAUCAAAUUUUAAUUCCUGAAUAAUAUAUAUGUUAAAUUAUCCUUUUUAAUACGAUACAUUUUAAUUAUAGUUUUAUUUGUAAUUAAGACGACCUCAUUCAAAUUGUUAGCAACUUAUAAAAAAACUAAUUUAGUUUAAUUAUUAACACAUAUUUUUGGAUAAGUGAUACAAAUAUUAAAUAAUUUAAAUUAAAUUAUUAACGGAGUUGUUCUAAUUAGAGUGAUUGAGUAUAUUGAUAGUUUAAUUUUUGAUGUAACAACAAAAUUUAUUAUUUUUAUUCUUUAUAUGUUAAAUUUUCUUGAGUAUAUUUCAAAAUUUAGGAUGUUUAUGAUUUUGAUUAAAUUUUUUAGUAUACAGUUGAUAUUGUUAUUGUACAAUUAAUGUUAAAUAAAAGAAAAUAUAAUAAUAUCUAUUACUACCUCCAUCUUGUAAAAAGUUUUUUCUUUUAACAUAUUUUUUCUUUUUGAGUAACAAUAUUUGUCUAAAUAAUUAUGCCCAAGUGUUGUUUAGUCUAAUAUAUGAGAAAAAUAAUUAAUAUAAUUUUUAAUAUUUUUUUAUAUGAAUAAUAAGAUUCGUUCUGGAAUAAUAUUAAUUUUAAAAUUUUACAUAAAUUUUAAUGUUUGGGAAAAAUAAUUAUACUUUUUUUGCAUUAAGUUGUACUUUUUAUGGGUAUUAGAAUUUUAUUUUUUAAUUACAAAAAUAAAUAAAUUUGAAUGUAUAUCACGUAAAUUUUAUUAUUUGAGAAAUUUAAUUAGUAAAAAUUGUAUGAUUUUAUUUUCUUAAAAAAAUGAAUAUAUUUUUUGACAUUUAUAUUAUUUAUUACACAACUUCAUAAUUUAAUUAAUUAGAUCAAGUUAACUUUAAUUUAUAUAUAUGCUAAAAUUAACUUUAAUUUUUAUCUUCACUCAUCUCAACUAUUUUUUGAUUCAUAGAAUUUAUCAUAAUCCCUAACUAGUUUCUUUUAAUUAAAUAAAUCAACACUUCUAACCGUACCAUAGUAAUUCUUAUAAUACUUUUCUCAAAAAUCAAGCAAAAAUAUAUAUAUAUAUAUAUGAUCCAUAGUAGGUACUUGACUUGCUAUAAAAUGGACAAAUACUAUCAUACCCGUCCAAAACAAAAUCCAGCAAAGGAGAUUAAAUAUGAAAUUAAGCAAACGCACCAAUGACCUUUUUACCCCUCAAGUCAAACAUAUCCAAUGAUAAAAAAAACCCAGCAUUGAUGGGUACUUGGACAAAUUGGGGCUGACAUCCGUUACAUGACAUGAUCGAAAAACCAACGGAAGCUUGCCCAAUUUGUCCAAGCUUCCGACUUUCUUGACUAGCGUUUCGUUGCAUUGACUUGUGGGCUACUAAUUUUAAUAAAUCAAGGCGAUCAAAGGUAGUAAACAGUUGGGGUAAUUCAGUUUUUUUUUUUUUUGAUAUUGCAAAAUUAAUAUAGCUGUGAAAACAAUAGAAGAAGGGGGUUUGGCCCAGCCCUACUGUAGAUGUCUUUUUGAUUGAUCCGGUUAGUAUGAAGUUAUUUUUUUGGUAAGUUGGUCAAUUGACCAAUAGAAUACUGACACACAUACAACUUCGCCUGCGUGUUAGUAUUCUAUUGGUCAAUUGACCAACUUAUCCCAAAAUAAACUUCAUACUAACCACUUCCCUUUUUGAUAUAAUCCACCCAUGGGUAAAUCUAGCACAUACUGAUACACUCCCUUGGACAAACAAACAAACAAUCAAUCACUGUUCAUUUCAAAAAACGAAACCUUACGAUCCGUCGGAAUUUACAAGUAAUUUGCCUUCCGAAAACAACUGUUAAAAAUGGAAAAACUUUACAGGUCAAUCUGAACCAAGUAGACGAUAUAUGCUUACAAGAUAAUUAUAUCUAUUGACCAAAAUUCUGAAGAAGUCGUUCCACAGCAGCAUUGACAUUACCAGAUGUGGCUAGCAGUGCCUGAAUAUUCUCUCGGGUGUCGAUGAAACCCAUUUCUUGGAGCUGGGAAAGCUGACUUGCAUAAAGUUCUUCAGGUGGCACUACAACCAAAAACAGUCAAAUCUGCCUGAUUCAAAUCUGCCUGAUUCAAAUCUGCCAAAUGUUUCAACCACCCCAGACCCAUAUAACCAGGGCUCUACUUUAUGCAAGAAUCAAAUAAAUAAAUAUAUUUAUGUUGCCAGAAUAUUGGAAAGUUCAUCAAUCUUGUGCUACUUGUAAUUUCGGCCAAACUAUUUUUGCUUGUUCAAAAAGGUUUAUUGCUACAAAAUAUGCAGUCAAAAGAAACGCGCACACAAAACGCCAUACAAAACUACUGCCAAGCUAAGUUUUAUAUGUAUACACACACAAACAUAUAUAUAUAUAUAUAUAUAUAUAUAUAUAUAUAUAUAUAUAUAUAUAUAUAAUUAUAUAUAUGAUGGGAAACGGAAGUGUGUCCUGGACACACAAGAGUCUGCGUGUCCUGCACCUAAUAUGACGUAGUUUUGAUAGCUAAAAUAGUGAAAUGCAAAAACAACCAUUAAUGAAAAUGGUGAAAUGUCAAACUGCAUUAAUGAAAUCUCUUAAAAUUAUGCGACACACAGAAGCUUGUAUGUGUUGAAGACAAAUACUACCACCUUAUACAUACAUAGUACUACCUCCGUCCCUAAAAAACCGGCUUAAUUAGACUUUUCUAGUCAAAUUGACCAAUUUUAGAACUAAAAAUUAAGGGAAUUGAUAUUUUUCCACAAACUAAUUUGAUAUUUCCACAAGUGGUCCCAUUUUUAAUUAAACCAACUCUGUGUGCAUUAGGCUAACUAUAAGAUUUAAUUUUGAUGCUCAAUUUACCCUUAUUUAGUAAAAGUUGAAUUCCAAUAUAUUUUAAAUAUUGCUCAAAAGUUGCACAAAAAAUUACACUAACAACACCUGUUUCGGAUUUCACCAAUUCGAAGCAACCCAUUCUUCAUGCAAUCUUUCUUGUUAGUUGUAAUAAUUUAGUUAUUUGUAUUUUUUAGUAACAAAUUUCGAGUAAAUAAUAACUUUGACUUUCUAUUUGUCAUUCAAUUUCUUUCUGAUCCUAUGUCACACACGAGAGAAUUGAGAAGUUCAUACAACUGAGAACGUACGAUAAGCAACAAAUGUAGAUUGUUCAAAACAAAACUUGAAAUUAAAAAAAUAAUAAUAAAUACUAGUCCUAAAAUUUACAC